ensembl:lincRNA 4930554H23Rik RIKEN cDNA 4930554H23 gene
CCCAUGCACGCGCUCCCAUGUUUGCCCCCUUAGGGUGUAGCCUUUUGAGGUUGUCCCUGAACUUAGAGAAACCCACCCUCACCUCCGCCCUGUUCAUCCUUUCUCUAGUGGUCUGCAUUCACCUUUGGUUUCUUUCUCUGGGCUGGCUCUCUUUUUCUAAACACCCUAAACUUUGGCUGUUUCCACGCCCCUCUGACCUUCCCCUGUUUCUUUUCCCAUUAAUAAUGUUUACAUGAUUGUUUUAGACGUUUCCUCCAUGGUGACUGUUUAAGACUUUUCCUCCAGCCUGAUAUCAAGUGGAUGCCGCUGCUUUCUGCCCUCUCAUUUAACCCUCUUGGUGUAGCUUUUGCCUGUUAGGUUCAGAGCUGGGCGUUUCCACAUUCUUGGUCUCUUGUUCAAGAAACUGAAAUAACAGUGCAUAGGUACAGCAAGCUAACAACAAAACAAGGCCAUAGUACAAAUCAGAGAUAUACACAGCCGACAGCGGGCCACAUCAGUGAGCACACUCAAAGGCCCUUAUUAUUUGGAGGGUUCAUUCUAUGGUCUUCCAGAAAAGGAGACAUUUAGUUGCUAAAGGAUGUAGCGUCAGUGGUUCUCUGUUUUGAUUGACAGAGCAGAUUAUGUAAGCCAUUUGUCACUAUGCACGUCCUUUCCUAUAAUGUGUUUUAUUUUAAUCAUAUGCACACCCAACUUUGCAUAGUCAUAGGAUGGUUAAAUGGUGUGUUCUUCCUAAAAGUUCACUGAGAGCACAUCUUUCCUUGUUGCAUAUACACACAAGACUAGUUCAAACUGGAUUAGGAUUCCAUUCUUAUAUAGCUGGAAUAUGACUGAAUAGAAACUGUUGAUGUCUAACAGGCUUUACAGGAAGGAAAAACCUAUUCCACUGUUUAGAGUGGGGUGCAGAUAACAAUUCGGUGCAAAUGGAUGUUCAAGGUUGGGAACGGGUUGCUAGUGCAUCGUUAGGAGAGGCUGUUAUAUCUCCUGGAUCUCCAUUGGUGAAUGCUCAGAAAAUUUCUCAUACUACAAGUCAAACUGAGCACUCCCUUUGCCUGUUUGGUCAAUCCUGGUGGCACUGUUGAAGGAAGGCCAUUUGGAAUUGAAGUUGUUGGGUUCUUAAGACAUAAACUGCAUACUUAUUGAGAAGAGGAAGAGUCAGGGAGAGGAUAGAUAUCCAUUAGGUUUGUCCUAUCCAAUCAAGAUUAAGGAGACAAUAUUCAAAAAUAUAAAAGACUGCUCAUGUUGUAUGCAGAACCUACAUUUUACAUUAAUUCUUUACUUCUAAGUCUCUGAACUGAGUCGGGUCGGGCUGGGCUGACUAAAAACUGACAAUCCAGUAAGGAGUGUGGCGGGACCUCGGGUGGCUCUUCAGGAGAGAUCUCUUCCCAAGUGUUACAUACAGCUCUUGGAACAAAAGAUUCAGACGAAGGAAUAGUUCUCACAUACCUUCAAUUCCCUGGAUGGAUUUAUAUGCAGUUCUGGAGAUGAUUCAGGGUUUGACAGGCAUCCAGCCUACACAGCUUCCCAGACAAGAGAACUGCUCAGAACCUUCCCAAGCAGACCAAGCCACCACCCUUUCCUCCUCAGAUGCCUCUGUGAGCAGGAUAUCUGAGCCACAAGCCCUGAGAUCCAGGUAUCCAUAGGACACCCUGAAGGAUAGAACUGGUAGCCUGAUGCUUUGUAACAUCCUGAUAUGUAUGUGAGACUGAUCACGUAUGGAAGGCUGCUAAACACAACUAAUAUACACAAGUAGAAAACUUCUCUUUGCAACAGAUGGAGACCAUUACCAAAAGCCACAACCAAUAUAAAUUCAGAGAAGAAACUAUAAUGUUGCAUUCAGUAUCAAUUGAUACAUCUACAACACAAAUCCUGCACCCAAGGCUCAGGGAUCAUUGCAGAAAUAUUGUAAAAGCCAGAGGAACAAGGCAACGGCAACAUAAAGCCUGGAGAGAGACAGUCUCUAUGUGGAAGGAGAAUGGACCCACACAUCUGAAGAUGUGUCUGCUCAUGGAAAGAAAAACUGGUUUCCAUUCUUAAGUCUGACAGCCUGUGGCUGCACCUAGGCAGCAUUUCUUACAGACCUGUGCAUAACACUCUUCACUGACUAAGGCUGAUGGCUUUGCAUCUGAAGCAGCAGGAACCAGCAAGAGAGAUGGGACUUGUGAACCAUGUCAGCCACCGCUGUGCACCUUCAGAAGAUAACAGACAUGCCUGGGAAACCUGUGAACUGGCUCUGUGGGACAGCAUUGGUGUCAGAUGGGCCUUGAGUGGAUGCCAUGCUAAUGCAGAAGGCAGUUCAGUCAAGGACAGAGGCAGAGAUGCUGGGUACUUCUGAGGUGUCAAGAACCCUGGAGGCAGAGUUCUUCCAAGGCUGACCCCAUUAUGCCUACGAUCCCCCUAAGCUUUCUUCAGUAAUCCUCUGACCUCCUUUCUCUCAAGUAGGCAAUAAUCCCUCUUCUUUGGCUUCUGUGAGGAUUAAGUAAAUCAAGAAGCCAUCAGUCUC